UGCUCUUCGCGCCUGCAAGAUCGUGUCGAAAUGGCGAUCGUCGAUAAAAAGCUCCUGCUUUUUCAUAAAAAGGAACUUUACUUACUGAAGAAAAAGGCGCUCCUGCUACAACCAAACCCCCGUCGAUGGUGGGUAAGACCGAGCUGGCAGAACAGAAAGAGAGUCCGAGUUCUACACAACGACCCUCUUUCUGAUGACCCACGAUCCCGAGUUUUUCCGAAAAUAUUACCGGAUGACACCAGAAACAGUUGAAAAGCUCCAUUCCUUGUUGAAAACAAUGCUUUCAAAACAGUGGGUUUUACGGGAGCCCGUGCCUUCACGAUGCCGCCUGCCAUCACAUUGAGCAUCGGGGAUGUACAUUCAAGAUGCUGCCAUGGCCUUUAAGGUAGGUAGGCAUAUCCACUGCAAGCAACAUUGUGCAGGAAGUUUGUGCACUUCUGUGGGAAGUUCUUCGACCCAAGUGUAUGACGGUAAGUUAUGCUACAAAUUUCUUAAUAUGUAAGCUUUUUUAAGCAAGUCAUCGGACAUCCAUGGUGACCUACAUGCAUAAGAUGUCAUGCGACUUGUGAAACUUAAGUUAUUGCAGCUUUAACCAGAACAGCUAUUUGCCAUGUGUAAUCAUUGCAUCAUUUUCUACGAGGCAAGACAGUAAAGUCUGUGAUUACUUACUGCAUUUUCAGUUCCUAGCAAAUGUUGAGCAGUGGCAGGAUAUUGCCAAGGGCUUUGAGCGCAAGUGGGAUUUCCCAUACUGCCUAGGUGUUCAUGGGAAACAGGUCCAAAUAGAAGGUCAUCCACA